AAUCGUGCCAAUAAAUAAAUCUGUUGCCACGGAUCUUGAAAAAAAAAAUGCAAUGGGAACAGUUGUUAUUUCCUUCCUAAAAUUUUUGCCCCUUGAAUUUUCGUAAAACUCGCGCUAGAAUCCCUAUUUUUACACAAAUUUCUUUUUGUCUUAAUUAAUUUCUAUACCUAAUAAAAUUAGAAAAAACUAAUGGCUAUCGAAAGGCCAUCCCUCUCAAAAGGGACUUCACCGAGAACGACGACUCUGUAACAAACAUCGGAAGGCAGCCAUCAACCGCCGACUCUGCCACCAUCCCGCCAACUCUGCCACCAUCCCGCCGUCAACGUCUGCAGUAGAACCUCCGACUAUGUAACAGAUAUGGCCGUCAACAACCACCUCCUUCUACAGCCGUCACCAACAACCACCAUCCUGCCGUCAACAAAAUAUUUCAUACUCUUUGACUAGUUCCAAGAUUUGAUUUUCUUUUUUCUUCACCCAUAAACUUUAUCUCCUCCACCUGAAACAACCACCUCCUCCUAUUAAUCCAAGCUCCACACUUUCAAAUAGCCACAAAAUUUUAGGGUUUUUUCUCGACUAAGAUCGACCACCUCCUUUUGCAAUUUCUCUAUAGUUGAGCCAUAAUUUGCAGAUUCCAUUAGUGAGGAAGAAAUUGCAACUGAUAGCUGUGGGAUAAAUCGCGGUCCUUAGCAGAUUUGGAGUAGAUGACACUAUCCCCUAUGUCUUUGGACAGUGAGUUGAGCAGCCAGGAUGUGACCAUGUCAUUGCAUCUACUCCAGGGCUGGAAAUCCUUUGAAUCAGCAGCUGGAGCAGGGCAAGCACCAUUGAUGAAUCCUAUUUUGUUCUUGGAUGAAAGGGCUAUGAGAACUGACCUUCUCCAGCCUUGAAAACCUCUACCAUCAAAGGCAGAAUUGACAAGCGACAUUCCUGGUGCAUCAGAGGAAUGAAGAAAGUAAGCAAUUUGAGUCAAUGAUGGUUGCUGCACCAGUAGUUGCCUGGGUGAUCGUUUGCUCAGUGUUAUCAGGAAUGAUUCAAGAUUUGCACAGAUCAAGCAAAGAAGAAGAUGAUGGAUCGAGCUGCUAUUGCUCUGAUACCAUGAAAGAAUUCAAAGGAGAAAGCAGUAGAGAAAUUUUCUGUGUAUUUUUAUUCAAUGCUGUAUACCUAUUUAUACAAAUAAAAGGAAUCAAAAUUGGUUAUGCUACUGUACAGGUGUAAUCUUCCUAUUGGUCUACUCCUAACUAAAUACAUAUCUGUAUAGAAUAUAAAGAAACAGAAUUUUCUACACUA